rnacentral:rRNA from 1 species
UGGGGAAUAUUGCGCAAUGGGCGAAAGCCUGACGCAGCAACGCCGCGUGAGGGAUGACGGCCUUCGGGUUGUAAACCUCUUUCAGCAGGGAAGAAGGGAAACUGACGGUACCUGCAGAAGAAGCACCGGCUAACUACGUG